rnacentral:rRNA from 1 species
AGUGAACGCUGGCGGUAGACCUAACACAUGCAAGUCGAACGGCAGCACAGUAAGAGCUUGCUCUUACGGGUGGCGAGUGGCGGACGGGUGAGGAAUACAUCGGAAUCUACUUUUUCGUGGGGGAUAACGUAGGGAAACUUACGCUAAUACCGCAUACGACCUGCGGGUGAAAGCAGGGGAUCUUCGGACCUUGCGCGAUUGAAUGAGCCGAUGUCGGAUUAGCUAGUUGGCGGGGUAAAGGCCCACCAAGGCGACGAUCCGUAGCUGGUCUGAGAGGAUGAUCAGCCACACUGGAACUGAGACACGGUCCAGACUCCUACGGGAAGCAGCAGUGGGGAAUAUUGGACAAUGGGCGCAAGCCUGAUCCAGCCAUACCGCGUGGGUGAAGAAGGCCUUCGGGUUGUAAAGCCCUUUUGUUGGGAAAGAAAAGCAGCAGGUUAAUACCCCGCUGUUCUGACGGUACCCAAAGAAUAAGCACCGGCUAACUUCGUG